rnacentral:rRNA from 1 species
AAAGAACGCUGGCGGCAUGCCUAACACAUGCAAGUCGAACGAAGGCUUCGGCCUUAGUGGCGCACGGGUGCGUAACGCGUGGGAAUCUGCCCUCAGGUUCGGAAUAACAGCGAGAAAUUUCUGCUAAUACCGGAUGAUAUCGCGAGAUCAAAGAUUUAUCGCCUGAGGAUGAGCCCGCGUAGGAUUAGCUAGUUGGUGUGGUAAAGGCGCACCAAGGCGACGAUCCUUAGCUGGUCUGAGAGGAUGAUCAGCCACACUGGGACUGCGACACGGCCCAGUCUCAUCCGGGAGUCAGCAGUGGGGACUAUGGGACAAUGGGCGCACGCCUGAUCCAGCAAUGCCGCGAGAGUGAUGAAGGCCUUAGGGUUGUAAAGCUAGUUUACCGGGGAUGUUAAUGGCGUUACCGAGAGAAUCAGCUCCGGCUCACUCCGUGCCAGCCGCCGCCGUAA